GACGAACGCUGGCGGCGUGCUUAACACAUGCAAGUCGAACGGAAAGGCCUGCUUUCCCUUGUGUAUUCCGGGUACUCGCGUGGCCAACGGGUGAGUAACACGUGAGUGAUCUGCCCCCAACUUGGGUAUAAGCCUGGGAAACUGGGUCUAAUUCCCGAUAGGACUGCAGGGUGGUGCCUGUGGUGGAAAACGAUUUUCUAGUGGUUGGGGAUGAGCUCGCGGCCUAUCAGCUUGUUGGUGGGGUAAUGGCCUACCAAGGCGGGGACGGGUAGCGGGCCUGAGAGGGUGGACGGCCGGAUUGGGACUGGGAUACGGCCCAGAAGCCUACGCGAGGCAGCAGUGGGGAAGAUGGCACGAUGGGCAGAACCCUGACGGAGCGAGGCCGCGGGGGGGAUGCCGGCCUUCGGGUUGUGAACUCCUGUCGACAGCGAGGAAGCGACCUGGGUGAAAGGGUGGUGACGGUAGUGGUAGAAGAAGCACCGGCUAACUACGUG
rnacentral:rRNA from 1 species